rnacentral:misc_RNA from 1 species
UAACAAGUGUUUUAUGGCACUUUUUAAAUCCACAUCCACCUUGUGUGCAAUGUCGGUCGAUCUUCUUCAUGGAGAUCGACCAAACAUCAACCUUUAUCUUUUAACUCUUUGUCUGAAAAAUAUUAUGAAUAAACAAUUCAAAAUA